rnacentral:rRNA from 1 species
UUAUGGCUCAGGAUGAAACGCUAGCUACAGGCUUAACACAUGCAAGGUCGAGGGGUAGCAGGGUAGCAAUACCGCUGACGACCGGCGCACGGGUGAGUAACACGUAUCCAACUUCCCAUAACUCAGGGAUAGCCUUUCGAAAGAAAGAUUAAUACCUGAUAGUACUUUUUCAAGGCAUCUUGAAAAAAGUUAAGAUUUAUUGGUUAUGGAUGGGAUGCGUUCCAUUAGAUAGUUGGUGAGGUAACGGCUCACCAAGUCUUCGAUGGAUAGGGGUUCUGAGAGGAAGGUCCCCCACAUUGGUACUGAGACACGGACCAAACUCCUACGGGAGGCAGCAGUGAGGAAUAUUGGUCAAUGGGCGAGAGCCUGAACCAGCCAAGUAGCGUGAAAAGGAUGAAGGUCCUAUGGAUUGUAAACUUCUUUUAUAGUAGAAUAAAGUGAGCCACGUGUGGUUUUUUGUAUGUAUACUAUGAAUAAGGAUCGGCUAACUCCGUGCCAGCCGCCGC